GAUGAACGCUGGCGGCGUGCUUAACACAUGCAAGUCGAAAGAUGAAAGCGGGAGCUUGUUCCUGCUGGAUUAGUGGCGAACGGGUGAGUAACACGUGAGCAAUCUGCCCCGAACUCUGGGAUAAGCGUUGGAAACGACGACUAAUCCCGGAUAAGACGCUCGAAGGCAUCUUCUGCGCGUGGAAAGAACUACGGUUCGGGAUGAGCUCGCGUUCUAUCAGCUAGCGGGCGCGGUAACGGCCCACCAAGGCGACGACGGGUAGCCGGCCUGAGUGGGUGACCGGCCACACUGGGACUGAGACACGGCCCAGACUCCUACGGGAGGCAGCAGUGGGCAAUAUUGCACAAUGGGCGAAAGCCUGAUGAAGCAACGCCGCGUGAGGGACGACGGCCUUCGCGUUGUAAACCUCAUUAAGUAGGGAAGAAGCGAAAGUGACGGUACCUGCAGAAAAAGCACCGGCUAACUACGUGCCAGCCGCCGCCGUAAAAC
rnacentral:rRNA from 1 species